rnacentral:rRNA from 1 species
UCCUACGGGAGGCAGCAGUGGGGAAUAUUGCGCAAUGGGCGAAAGCCUGACGCAGCGACGCCGCGUGGGUGAUGAAGGCCUUCGGGUCGUAAAGCCCUGUCGGGAGGGACGAAUUCUCGACGACCUAAUACGUCGUUGACUUGACGGUACCUCCGAAGGAAGCACCGGCUAACUCCGUGCCAGCAGCCGCGGUA